rnacentral:rRNA from 1 species
AUAGCCUUUCGAAAGAAAGAUUAAUACCCGAUGGCAUAGUUCUUCCGCAUGGUAGAACUAUUAAAGAAUUUCGGUCAUCGAUGGGGAUGCGUUCCAUUAGGUUGUUGGCGGGGUAACGGCCCACCAAGCCUUCGAUGGAUAGGGGUUCUGAGAGGAAGGUCCCCCACAUUGGAACUGAGACACGGUCCAAACUCCUACGGGAGGCAGCAGUGAGGAAUAUUGGUCAAUGGACGAGAGUCUGAACCAGCCAAGUAGCGUGAAGGAUGACUGCCCUAUGGGUUGUAAACUUCUUUUAUACGGGAAUAAAGUGAGGCACGUGUGCCUUUUUGUAUGUACCGUAUGAAUAAGGAUCGGCUAACUCCGUGCCAGCAGCCGCGGUAAUACGGAGGAUCCGAGCGUUAUCCGGAUUUAUUGGGUUUAAAGGGAGCGUAGGCGGACGCUUAAGUCAGUUGUGAAAGUUUGCGGCUCAACCGUAAAAUUGCAGUUGAUACUGGGUGUCUUGAGUACAGUAGAGGCAGGCGGAAUUCGUGGUGUAGCGGUGAAAUGCUUAGAUAUCACGAAGAACUCCGAUUGCGAAGGCAGCUUGCUGGACUGUAACUGACGCUGAUGCUCGAAAGUGUGGGUAUCAAACAGGAUUAGAUACCCUGGUAGUCCACACAGUAAACGAUGAAUACUCGCUGUUUGCGAUAUACAGUAAGCGGCC